rnacentral:rRNA from 1 species
GAUGAACGCUGGCGGCGUGCCUAAUACAUGCAAGUCGAGCGAACAGACGAGGAGCUUGCUCCUCUGACGUUAGCGGCGGACGGGUGAGUAACACGUGGAUAACCUACCUAUAAGACUGGGAUAACUUCGGGAAACCGGAGCUAAUAACGGCUAAUAUAUUCAACCGCAGGGUUCAAUAGUGAAUGACGGUUUUGCUGUCACUUAUAGAUGGAUCCGCGCCGCAUUAGCUAGUUGGUAAGGUAACGGCUUACCAAGGCAACGAUGCGUAGCCGAUCUGAGAGGGUGAUCGGCCACACUGGAACUGAGACACGGUCCAGACUCCUACGGGAGGCAGCAGUAGGGAAUCUUCCGCAAUAGGCGAAAGCCUGACGGAGCAACGCCGCGUGAGUGAUGAAGGUCUUCGGAUCGUAAAACUCUGUUAUUGGGGAAGAACAACUGUGUAAUUAACCAUGGACGUCUUGACGGUACCUAAUCAAAAAGCACCGGCUAACUUCGUG